AGAAUAUGAGGUUUCAAGAAGAAGCUGCUAACUUCUCUCUUUAGCGGUUUAAUUCCGUUUAUAUUCUU
rnacentral:tRNA from 1 species